rnacentral:rRNA from 1 species
ACUCUUGCCUAUCGGGAUCCAAGUUUUGGAUUCUCGAUGAGGACGUCUUUCCUGCUUACAGGGCACGGGUCGUUCAAUGCAUUUUUGCACGGGAGAGCCCUCAGCGAUACCACUGCUUGCGCAUGUGGAGAUCCAUAUGAGGACUGGAUGCAUAUCUUGUGCGCUUGCCCCCUAUAUGCAGAUCUGCGGGACCUAGAUGGACUUGGAGUGCAGCGCCUUGGCGAAAACUGGAUCUUCGAGGGAAUCCUGGAUGAUCAAGAGAAGACUCAACGGCUGGCAAUGUUUGCGGAAGAAGUGUUCCUGAGGAGGAGGGGCGUUUAGCUCAACAUCUCUGCCGUGUGGUUAGCGGGCGAGAAUACUACCACAGUCCGCUGUUGCUUGUCGUAAGAGACGACUAAUACAGCGAUAGGAUUCCUCUAACCCUGCUUGUCGGAGCAAAAGGGGGAGGCCCACCGAGCCUCUUUUCGGUACCACGGGUUGAGCAGCUAUCCAAGACUGCUCAUUGAGGUAGGCCCCCUGGUGGGAGUAUCGUGGUGGCUGUGGUUGGUACCCAUAUCGCGGGUAGAGCCUUCAUGCUCGACGUUUGAGUUACGGUGCUAGUUGCGCAAAACUCGGGUGCUGUGACCCAGAGAUCAGUAGAGAUUUUAGGUAGAUCUCGCUCCUCAGCAAGGGGGAGUGCUUGCCCGGCAAGCAAGUACUCGAAUUGCUACCGGGGUGGUCGCUAUGUACAUAGCUAUAGCUUCUAGUCCGGGACGCUUGUCUGGCGUAUCCAGACACAUGCACCAUAUGCUCACUUGUGGGCGUAUAGGGUGCCGUGGUUGUAAUCCCUUCAGUGUGGAACACGCCACGUAAAAUAAGUUCGGAGGGAUCCGAAAAGCAUACAUUGUCCCACCGAGCCUCUUUUCGGUACCACGGGUUGAGCAGCUAUCCAAGACUGCUCAUUGAGGUAGGCCCCCUGGUGGGAGUAUCGUGGUGGCUGUGGUUGGUACCCAUAUCGCGGGUAGAGCCUUCAUGCUCGACGUUUGAGUUACGGUGCUAGUUGCGCAAAACUCGGGUGCUGUGACCCAGAGAUCAGUAGAGAUUUUAGGUAGAUCUCGCUCCUCAGCAAGGGGGAGUGCUUGCCCGGCAAGCAAGUACUCGAAUUGCUACCGGGGUGGUCGCUAUGUACAUAGCUAUAGCUUCUAGUCCGGGACGCUUGUCUGGCGUAUCCAGACACAUGCACCAUAUGCUCACUUGUGGGCGUAUAGGGUGCCGUGGUUGUAAUCCCUUCAGUGUGGAACACGCCACGUAAAAUAAGUUCGGAGGGAUCCGAAAAGCAUACAUUGUCCCUAUCUACUAUCUAGCGAAACCACAGCCAAGGGAACGGGCUUGGAAUAAUUAGCGGGGAAAGAAGACCCUUUUGAGCUUGACUCUAAUCUGGCAGUGUAAGGAGACAUAAGAGGUGUAGAAUAAGUGGGAGAUAUUAGACCUCGGUUUGGUAUCGUCAAUGAAAUACCACUACUCUUAUUGUUUCCUUACUUACUUGAUUAAAUGGAACGUGUAUCAUUUCCUAGCCAUUAUACGGAUAUAUUUAUUAUAUCUUAUGGUAUUGGGUUUUGAUGCAAGCUUCUUGAUCAAAGUAUCACGAGUUUGUUAUAUAAUCGCAAACAAAUUCUUUAAUAAAACGAUGCAUUUAUGUAUUUUUGAUUUGAAAAUUUGGUAUAACUCCAAUUACUCAGGUAUGAUCCAAUUCAAGGACAUUGCCAGGUAGGGAGUUUGACUGGGGCGGUACAUCUCUCAAAUAAUAACGGAGGUGUCCCAAGGCCAGCUCAGUGCGGACAGAAACCACACAUAGAGCAAAAGGGCAAAUGCUGACUUGAUCUCGGUGUUCAGUACACACAGGGACAGCAAAAGCUCGGCCUAUCGAUCCUUUUGGUUUAAAGAGUUUUUAACAAGAGGUGUCAGAAAAGUUACCAUAGGGAUAACUGGCUUGUGGCGGCCAAGCGUUCAUAGCGACGUCGCUUUUUGAUCCUUCGAUGUCGGCUCUUCCUAUCAUUGUGAAGCAAAAUUCACCAAGCGUUGGAUUGUUCACCCAUGCAAGGGAACGUGAGCUGGGUUUAGACCGUCGUGAGACAGGUUAGUUUUACCCUACUAAUGACAAAACGUUGUUGCGACAGCAUUCCUGCGUAGUACGAGAGGAACCGCAGGUACGGACCAAUGGCACAAUACUUGUUCGAGCGAACAGUGGUAUGACGCUACGUCCGUUGGAUUAUGCCUGAACGCCUCUAAGGUCGUAUCCGUGCUGGACUGCAAUGAUAAAUAAGGGGCAAUUUGCAUUGU